GACGAACGCUGGCGGCGUGCUUAACACAUGCAAGUCGAACGGAAAGCCCCUUUCGGGGGGACUCGAGUGGCGAACGGGUGAGUAACACGUGGGUGAUCUGCCCUGCACUUUGGGAUAAGCCUGGGAAACUGGGUCUAAUACCGGAUAGGACUACGCGAUGCAUGUCGUGUGGUGGAAAGCUUUUGCGGUGUGGGAUGGGCCCGCGGCCUAUCAGCUUGUUGGUGGGGUGAUGGCCUACCAAGGCGACGACGGGUAGCCGGCCUGAGAGGGUGUCCGGCCACACUGGGACUGAGAUACGGCCCAGACUCCUACGGGAGGCAGCAGUGGGGAAUAUUGCACAAUGGGCGCAAGCCUGAUGCAGCGACGCCGCGUGAGGGAUGACGGCCUUCGGGUUGUAAACCUCUUUCACUAGGGACGAAGCGCAAGUGACGGUACCUAGAGAAGAAGCACCGGCUAACUACGUGCCAGCCGCCGCGGUAA
rnacentral:rRNA from 1 species